AAAUUUGAUCUCCUGCAAGAAUUCUAUCAAACCACUCUAAAGGCCCUUGAAGAGGCAAAGAAUGAGAGACUUUGGUUUAAGACAAAUCUAAAGCUUUGCAAGAUCUGGUUUGAUAUGGGUGAGUAUGGGCGAAUGAGCAAGAUUUUGAAGGAACUUCAUAAAUCUUGUAAAAGGGAAGAUGGGUAAGAUGAUCAAAAAAAAGGGAAGUCAGCUUCUGGAGGUAUAUGCAAUUGAAAUUCAAAUGUAUACGGAGACAAAAAACAACAAAAAGCUCAAG